UUUAAAGAGAGUUUGAUCCUGGCUCAGGACGAACGCUGGCGGCGUGCCUAAUACAUGCAAGUCGAACGAACGGAGGAAGAGCUUGCUCUUCCAAAGUUAGUGGCGGACGGGUGAGUAACACGUGGGCAACCUGCCUGUAAGUUGGGGAUAACUCCGGGAAACCGGGGCUAAUACCGAAUGAUAAAGUGUGGCGCAUGCCACGCUUUUGAAAGAUGGUUUCGGCUAUCGCUUACAGAUGGGCCCGCGGUGCAUUAGCUAGUUGGUAGGGUAAUGGCCUACCAAGGCAACGAUGCAUAGCCGACCUGAGAGGGUGAUCGGCCACACUGGGACUGAGACACGGCCCAGACUCCUACGGGAGGCAGCAGUAGGGAAUCUUCCGCAAUGGACGAAAGUCUGACGGAGCAACGCCGCGUGUAUGAAGAAGGUUUUCGGAUCGUAAAGUACUGUUGUUAGAGAAGAACAAGGAUAAGAGUAACUGCUUGUCCCUUGACGGUAUCUAACCAGAAAGCCACGGCUAACUACGUGCCAGCAGCCGCGGUAAUACGUAGGUGGCAAGCGUUGUCCGGAUUUAUUGGGCGUAAAGCGCGCGCAGGCGGUCUU
rnacentral:rRNA from 1 species